UAAACCUUUACCAAUUCAAACUGAUCGUGUGCAACUAUUUUUUGAAUUUGUUCUUCUUCUGUUGAUAUUUCAUCUUCAUCCGAAAGUGAAUCAGUUAGUAAUCUGUAACAGCUAUGAAGCAUCAUGAUUGUAAUUUGACACUGCUGUCGAAUGUUUUUACUCUGUUAUAGGUGGCAAGCUGAGGCCUGCUCCGAACCAGUUAUCGGUUAAAUCAUGUUCCAAAUGAAGACCUCCUUCUAACCCGUCAUCACCUCAGUGUUGAAACCUGGUAUGUUUCGAUUUUGUUAAUGUUCAUUUAUUUUCUACUUUCAUUUCUAAAACGCAAUGUAAAUCUAACCCUUUAAAAGUGGCUCAGUCAAAUGUGGUUGCACCGCAGGGCAUUCAGAAAAUGUUCAUCCUAAUAUGAACUCAUCAACGGGAAUGCAACAAGUCCUUUUUUAUAUUAUAAUAGGCUUGAGUUUUGUCGUACAAUGUUUAUCCUUUGUUUAGAUGAUAGCAAAAAUGUUCUUACAGUUUCUAAUGCAUUUUUUUAUCAAUUAAAGGUGCUCGGCCACAAUCGGAAUUAGUUCAAAUUAUUUCUUCGACGCCAAACCUUCAAUCUUUGAAGUUCUCUCACCCUUUUUAAAAAACUUCAGGAGUUCCGACCAACAGCUUCCUUUGUGUAUGGACCAAGAUACUCUGCAAAGUGAUGAAUGUUCGACUUCGAGUAAGUUCCUCUUUGUAGCUCUUGCAUUAAGAAGGUCUACUACUUUUUAAGGGUCGCACCUAACACACAACAAUCCGUGUGCCUUCUUUUAUUACUAUAUUUAGUAGUCUGUUGUAAUGGAUGAACCAUAAAAAGAGGGAGAUUAUGCACAAAUUACUCGACUACCUUAAAAAGAUGUGAUUUUUCGACCAUGCAUAGUAUAGUAGAUUGAAAACCCAAAUUUGAUAUUCGACUACUUUUUAAGGGUCGCACCUAACACACAACAAUCCGUGUGCCUUCUUUUAUUACUAUAUUUAGUAGUCUGUUGUAAUGGAUGAACCAUAAAAGAGGGAGAUUAUGCACAAAUUACUCGACUACCUGAAUAAGAUGUGAUUUUUCGACCCUGCAUAGUAUAGUAGAUUGAAAACCCAAAUUUGAUCUUCGACUUUAAAGUCUAACCAGAGUGUUUGACAAUAUUUGCUAUAGGCCAGCCAGUCCAACCCAUCUUCGACCCCUCAGAACGAAAGGUUAAGCAUGUACAACUAGGUACUGUAUUAACUAUUUUCUUAAUCGUUUUUGUAUGACUACAUUUUUAAAAUUAAAGAAUUUUUAUAUAGGUCAGCCUUAGGCAUCAUCUGUGAUUUGUUUAACCUGAUUCACAUUACCUUACAUAUAUUGAAUAAGACAUUGUUUUAUUUCAAUUUCUCUCUUUAAAUGGUUAUCAUUUCAAACUUUAAUUCAUUUAACUAUACAUGCACAUAUUCCUUAUCAUCGAUUUGAUCAAUUAUUAUUUUGGACUUCCUAAGAGAUGUCUUAACAAAAACUUUAGUUCCUCAGAUUUCCUAUAUUUGCCAUGAAAAAAUUUCACAUUGUCCAUUUCCAGGUUCCGAAGGGUGGAUACUAUAUAAUGAUGUUUCAUGAGUUUCUUUUACUUGGCAAAUUGAGCAUUUGUAUUAUUAUGAUAUUGCUGAAUUGCUGAAUUUCUUUUACUUGGAUUAAUAGUUAUGAUUUAUUAUGAAAAGUUAAAUGGAGCUUUGAUGGUGAACUAAGGAUAUAAUUAACUGCUUUAUUGUUGUUGAUAAGCUUCGUGUUGGAUGAAGAAUUAACCAUGUGUUUGUUUCAUUAGUGUUAUUAAACUAUUAAAUUCAGGGUUUCUAGAGAAAUCACCUCUGUGUGUUUUUUUUUUUUGAAUUUUUGGUUCAAUUAAUUUUCUUUGGUCUGUUAUUAAUUUCUUAGAAAAAUUUUAUUGUCUAUAGCCUCUCUUACAUAUUUGUAUAUGCUCAAUUACAAAAUAUAAAUUAUUAGUCAUUGUGUUACAGAUUUUAUAUAUUAUGACUCCUGGCUUGACU